rnacentral:rRNA from 1 species
CGCGUAGGCGGCCCGGUAAGUCCGCUGUAAAAGUCCAGGGCUCAACCCUGGAACGCCGGUGGAUACUGUCGGGCUAGAGUCCGGAAGAGGCGAGUGGAAUUCCUGGUGUAGCGGUGGAAUGCGCAGAUAUCAGGAGGAACACCGAUGGCGAAGGCAGCUCGCUGGGACGGUACUGACGCUGAGGCGCGAAAGCGUGGGGAGCGAACAGGAUUAGAUACCCUGGUAGUCCACGCCGUAAACGAUGGGCACUAGGUGUGGGAGGUGUCGACUCCUCCCGUGCCGGCGCUAACGCAUUAAGUGCCCCGCCUGGGGAGUACGGCCGCAAGGCUAAA